GACCUAACCCCUAGGAUUCCAAUCCUAGGAUAUGGUCGAAAAUCCUAGUAGAGAUCAAAGGACUCCCAGUCAGAGUCACUCUACUAGGUCAUAUCUGGAAACAGGUAUGGGUCUGGCCGAAAGGUUGGAUC
rnacentral:sRNA from 1 species